rnacentral:lncRNA from 1 species
UUGUACCAGAUCUCACUAUAUCUCUCCUCAUUCAUCUAUCCUCUCCACCAUACUUUUCCCUAUCUCUUUCUUGUUCUAAUAGAUAUAAAACAAGAUCACAAAUGAAAUCAAGAAACUGAUGAGCAUCAUAUCCUUGUAAACGCCAUCUAGAUCUAGAUCUGGACCGUCAUGUAGAUCUGGAUCCACCAUAUUUCUCUACCUCAUUCCAUGUAAACACUUCUCUACCCUCACACUUCUCUACCUCAUUCCAGGUCUAAGAUCUGAAAUAAAAAAAAAAAUCUUUUUCUUAUAAAAAUCCUUCAUAAUCAACCACCCAAACUCCAGAUGCUCCGAACAAAAAGAUGCCCCGAAUAAAAAAAGAUGCUACAGAUGUUCCGGUUCAAAAGAUCAUCAUCCAGAUGCUCCAGAUCUAGAAGAUUAUCAUCCAGAUGUUCGAUGUUUGAACAUGAUAUUCCAAAUCUAGAAGAUCCUCCUCCAGAUCCGGAUUAAAAUGAUCGAUGUUGAAGAUGAUGUGAUGGCGGUUCGAUGUUGAAGAUUAAAAUGAUCGAUGUUGAAGAUGAUGUGAUGGCGGUUCGAUGUUGAAGAUGACCCAAAAGAUGUUCGAUGUUUAAAAUGAUGUUCCAGAUCUAGAAGAUCCUCCAGGUCCAUAAUUCUUCGUUUUUUUGUAUUUUGUAGAUCUCCAACUUUUUUGAACUGGAUCUGUUGUAUUUUUUUUUGUUUUCUGUUCAAGAAGAUGAAUGUUUUUAAUUUCUUGAUUUGUCAAUUUUUUGUGUAAAAUUUGUUCAAGAAAAAAUACAUGUUACAUUUUUCUAUGUCACUUAAAUAAUGUACGUUUACAUAAAAUAAAGUGCAUUGUUACACUUUUUUAGAUUAUUGUAAAAAUAAAGUGUGUUGUUACAUGCAACUUUUUUCUGGAUAUGUUGUUUUUUUGUUUUUUGUUCAAGAAGAUGAAUUUUUUUUAAUUUCUUGAUUUAUCAAUAUUUUGUGUAAAUUUUGUUCAAGAAAAAAUGCAUGUUACAUUUUUCCGUGUCACAUAAAUAAUGUACAUUUACAUAAAAUAAAGUAUAUUGUUACACUUUUUUAGAUUAUUGUAAAAAUAAAGUGUGUUGUUACAUGCAACUUUUUUUCUAGAUAUGUUGUUUUAUUUUUGUUCAAGAAGAUGAAUGUUUUCAAUUUCUUGAUUUAUCAAUUUUUUGUGUAAAAUUUGUUCAAGAAACAAUGCAUGUUACAUUUUUCCGUGUCACAUAAAUAAUGUACGUUUACAUAAAAUAAAGUGCAUUGUUACACUUUUUUAGAUUAUUGUAAAAAUAAAGUGUUUAUUGAAUUAAAAUCGAAGUUACUUUCUUGUUUAUUGUUAUUAAUUGUAGUUUUUCUCUUGAUAAAUUUGUUGAUUUUUGUAGAGUGACGUGAAGCAUGGUGUGGUUCAUAUGACGGUUCGAUGUUUUAGAUCUGAAGCAUUUAGUUCUUAUAUGAAACAAUUUGAUUUAAGUUCUUAUGUAUUGGAUUCUUGUUAAUGAAGUUAUAUUUU